rfam:Zootermopsis nevadensis contig10088, whole genome shotgun sequence.
GCCACGGUGGUCUAGCGGUUAGAACGCUGGCCUUGUAAGCCUGGGGUCCCGGGUUCAAUUCCCGGUGGUGCUC